UUUUGAAAAUCUUAUGUAAAUAUAUGGUCCCAUCAAUAUCAUAAAUUAAUAAUUGUAUAAAUAUAUCAACUAU
rnacentral:sRNA from 1 species